rnacentral:lncRNA from 1 species
AACAGCUGCGAACAUUCAAGUAAAUCAAAGAAUAUACUCAUGUGUGCAUAUAGAUGAGUUCUCACCUACCCAUUUUGCUCUCGAUGGUGCUGCUGUAGUUCAGCUUGAGUGUGUUGAGAGAGAUUAGCUGAUGUUGUUGUCCUUGUUUUUUCUGAGAGAGAUUAGCUCGCCCCUCCUCCAUCGAUGGCCUACACUGGCCGCUAGAAUCCAUCCAGGUGCUGGCCGUCAUCCUCUAUCUUCAAUUACGGGUCAGCAACAGCGUUGCGAAUAGAAAGGUCAGCAUCUGGCCCUCUAGAAGUUCAGUUUGUUGAUUUUCUGAAGUUUUUAAAGUGGACUAUAACCGUGUAUAUUUUGCAGGGCCCGGUGAAGUUCAAUUUGUUUUGCUUUUUGAAGUUCUGUUUGUUGAUUUUCUGAAGUUUGGAUUGUUAAUUUUUUGAAGAGAAAGGUUGCUUCACUUGCACUCCUCUAUCUAGUCCUGUGUGGUGAUAUCCUCGACUCCUCCUCGGUUCGGAGCUAGCAACGGUUCUUCAACUUCCCUGCUGUGUUGUCGCGAUUGUUGGUAAGUAAUCCUUGUUCUACUAUUGCCUUGUAGUAAUGCUGGAUGGGUUCCCCCUUGUUUUGGAACCAUAAUAAUACAAGUUUGUCUCUGCGCUCCUGUUCCUGUGAUUACAAUAGUAGAGAAAAAUACCAAGGGUCAAAACCAAACCAGAGUGAACCAUACCAAUCAGAACAUGGUCAUUUGGAACCAACUCUAAUCGUUUGUUCAUCUAACUGCAGCAGAGACAAAUUUUAUACUUUGUUCAUCUAUGGUGCCAAGUUGAGCGGACACCGUAGCACUCGAGAAGAUGGGGAGAGGAUGUGUGGUGAAGAGAAAACAUAGGGUUUCAAAUUGUCCAUUGGUGGUUGCAUCUAAUCAUUUUACCAAAGUGUAACGGACAUGUGUAUGUAUGUACAGUAGCAUAUUUUACUUGAACCGAGUUAUUUUUUUUAAUGCACGAAGUUUGUGCAGCCAAAAAACAUGUAUUAAACUGGUUUUUGUGUAUUUUUCUAACCUUUUCUACACCUUUCUACGAGAUGUGCAAAUCCCAGGCCGUUCAUCUUUGCCACCAUUGGUCGUCCAAUGAUGCAGGCCCAUGUCGUUCACUGUUGUAUCGCCAACCUGCUGCUCUUGUGCUGAUGGACAUCAACUUGUUGUCUUGUAGUAAUGAAUCAGAUAGGUAAACUUCUA